rfam:Operophtera brumata OBRT01_Sc03056, whole genome shotgun sequence.
CAUAAGGCCCUCUUCAGGGCCACCGCACCUCAAGCUGCAGUGUGAC